rnacentral:rRNA from 1 species
UGGGGAAUAUUGGACAAUGGGCGCAAGCCUGAUCCAGCCAUGCCGCGUGAGUGAAGAAGGCCUUCGGGUUGUAAAGCUCUUUCAGAUGUGACGAUGAUGACGGUAGCAUCAGAAGAAGCCCCGGCUAACUUCGUGCCAGCAGCCGCGGUAAUACGAAGGGGGCUAGCGUUGUUCGGAAUUACUGGGCGUAAAGCGCACGUAGGCGGCGUCGUCAGUCAGAGGUGAAAUCCCGGGGCUCAACCUCGGAAUUGCCUUUGAUACUGCGACGCUUGAGUUCGGAAGAGGACAGUGGAAUACCCAGUGUAGAGGUGAAAUUCGUAGAUAUUGGGUGGAACACCAGUGGCGAAGGCGACUGUCUGGUCCGAUACUGACGCUGAGGUGCGAAAGCGUGGGGAGCAAACAGGAUUAGAUACCCCCGUAGUCC